rnacentral:rRNA from 1 species
GGGUAGCGGAGAAAUUCCAAUCGAACCCGGAGAUAGCUGGUUCUCCCCGAAAUAGCUUUAGGGCUAGCGUCGCAGCGAGAGAGCCGUGAAGGUAGAGCACUGAAUAUGCGAUGGCCGCAUCCCGCGGUACUGAGCAUAAUCAAACUCCGAAUGUCACGGUGUCAUCUGCGGCAGUCAGACGGCGAGUGAUAAGGUCCGUCGUCAAGAGGGAAACAGCCCAGACCAUCAGCUAAGGUCCCAAAGUGCAUGCUAAGUGGAAAAGGAAGUGGAGACGUGCAGACAACUAGGAGGUUGGCUCAGAAGCAGCCAUCCUUCAAAGAGUGCGUAACAGCUCACUAGUCGAAUGACUCUGCGCCGAUAAUUUACCGGGGCUAAGCAUGACACCGAAGCUAUGGACAGGAAUGUGGUAGGGGAGCAUUGCAUGCAGCGGAGAAGCAUGACCGAGAGGGCAUGUGGAGCGCAUGGAAGAGAGAAUGCCGGCGUGAGUAGCGGCACGUGGGUGAGAAUCCCACGCACCGAUGGCCCAAGGUCUCCAGAGGAAGGCUCGUCCUCUCUGGGAUAGUCGGGACCUAAGGCGAGGCCGAAAGGCGUAGCCGAUGGACGACGGGUGGAUAUUCCCGUACCCGAUGUGUGGCGAUGGAGUGACGGAGAAGGCUCAGGCAACCAGCUGCUGGAAUAGCUGGGGCAAGCGAGAUACCUGCGCACCAGGGAAAUCCGGUGCGCGCAAGGGGAAGGCGCGAAGCAUACGGAAAGCUGCGGCAAGUACGGAAAAGCUGAGAGCAGGCUUCCAGGAAAAGCUUCUAGCACAACACGCAUCGGCCCGUACCGAAAAUGGACACACAUGGGCAAGGAGAGAAUCCUGAGGUGAGCGAGAGAACUAUAGCUAAGGAACUCUGCAAAAUGACCCCGUAACUUAGGGAGAAGGGGUGCUCCAGAAAUGGAGCCGCAGUAAAACGGCCCAAGCGACUGUUUACCAAAAACACAGCUCUCUGCGAAGGCGCAAGCCGAAGUAUAGGGGGUGACGCCUGCCCGGUGCUGGAAGGUCAAGGGGAGCUGUCAGCGCAAGCGAAGCAGCGAGCCGAAGCCCCAGUAAACGGCGGCCGUAACUAUAACGGUCCUAAGGUAGCGAAAUUCCUUGUCGGGCAAGUUCCGACCCGCACGAAAGGCGUAACGAUUUGGGCGCUGUCUCAGCUGUAGACUCGGUGAAGUCUUAGUACCUGUGAAGAUGCAGGUUGCCCGCGACUAGACGGAAAGACCCCAUGGAGCUUCACUGCAGGUUGACAUUGGGCUUGGAUGCAUGAUGUACAGGAUAGGUGGGAGGCUGUGAGCCGUGCGCGCCAGCGUACGGGGAGCCGCUGUUGGGAUACCACCCUUCAUGCAUCUAGGUCCUAACCGGAGGCAACGGGCCACGGGACAGUGUCAGUCGGGCAGUUUGACUGGGGCGGUCGCCUCCCAAAGAGUAACGGAGGCGCCCAAAGAUACCCUCAGCAUGGAUGGAAACCAUGCAUAGAGUGCAAAGGCAUAAGGGUGUCUGACUGCGAGACAUACAGGUCGAGCAGGGACGAAAGUCGGGCUUAGUGAUCCGGCGGAUCCGAAUGGAAGGGCCGUCGCUCAACGGAUAAAAGCUACCCUGGGGAUAACAGGCUGAUCUCCCCCAA